CCUAAAUAGAAAACCCUUUUUUCCCAUGGAUGGUCCACGUGAGUGAGGGUCGUACGUUUCUGCCAGAAAUAAGUUGAGGGUCUGGGGUGGCAUUGCCGCUCGAUUCUUGAAGAUGACUGGCCAAAGAGAGAGAGAAGGAGAAAAGAAUACGAGUCGUGAAGAUCUGGAAGGCUAAUGGUUAGCCUCGCCUCCCCUUCAGCGUCUGCCCUUUUCCCCCUAACAAAGCCCUGUGAAUGGGAAUUCGCGCAGCUCACACGGAAGAGGCUCCCAAACUAAUGGGCUCUUUGUUCUGCCGGCCAUCUAUGGCCGGCCAUACGUAUUCUGGCAUCUCAAGAAAGCUGCAGCUUUGAAAUGUUAGCGUGACACUUUCCUUCCAGCUUUAGAAAUUUAAUUUUGGAACUCAGGUGUUUUAGGUCCCUGCUGCUAAGGCCACCGCCGUUCAUUUGUGUGCACAAAGUUACGCCUAAGGAUUCGUUUUCACGAAGUUGGCCCGAGCGGAAGGAAAAAAAGAAAGAAGAUCAGUGUGUGUUGUACUAGCUUUGGAGAAUGAAGAUUAUUUAAGGGUCUGGUUGCAGAUUAUGGGCACCCCCCCAACCCUAAGAUUCACUAUGAUUGCUAUUAAUGCAUUUACUUUAGAGCAAGUAAUUUAACCGAAUAACCAGGAAGCUGAGUUAAAUUAAUCCCUAGCAAGGGGAUUCAUCCAAGGAAAAAGGCCCUGACAGACCUGUUGAAGCCCUCCCCCAAAUCACCUUCUGAGGGACACAAUUGCCCCUACUGGAAUAUUAGUGACAAUGAUCAUUUCUGUGCCUGAAACUAUUCAUAGGGAACUACCUUUGCAUUGAUAAUUGCUUUUGUUUUUCACAGCGACUCUGAGAAGUAGGCUCAGGGACAGAUAUUAACCUUUACAGUCCGGAAAGCUUAGCCCUUAUGCUUAAGGUCACCCAGGUAACUGGCAGAAGCUGUGUUCGAAUCCAGACCUUUCCAUCUGAGAGUCAAGUGCUUUUCUUCGCCCUGAUCGCUACUUUCUAGGAAGCAGAAAAUGAGCUCAUUAAAUUGUUAGGCCUUUCAAGAAUAACCAUACUCGCAGGCACAUAGCGUCUUCUAAAUAAGACCGCCUGCUUGAUCACCAGACAGUUUAGAAAACAGGCUUUUUCUGCUCACUUUUACUGUCAUCUGUGAGACACAAAACUCAAAGAUGCCUGGAAGAAGUAAGUUAGAAUUCUGGGGCUGUGAGCCUUUUAAAUAGCCCAUUGUCUCCGAGGAGAAGAACAAUCUGGGCUUUGUACGGCUGGGGGCAUUUUUCAUGAAGCCCUGUUCCCUAGACAGCCUCCACUCCUCACAAGGGCUGUUGUCUUUUUCCUGCCACAACAUCAGUGUGACAUAUCUCACACUUAAAACGGCAGCCUACUCAGUCCCCAUUCAUGGAUUCCUCUGGAAAUGAAAAAAAAAAAAAAUCUCUUUGUCAAAAGAGUUAUUGGAAAUGGAAUUUGUGAAAAACCCUUACGAUGCAAAGUGAACCCGGACAAUAAUGUUUUGUGACCGUUCUGUUUGAUGUGUGCUGACGGGAAUUAAUCAUUUUAGUUAACAGAAUUGCUCUUUGUUAUGCAAACUUUGCAAAGUCCGCCUCGUCUGACUCCUUGCUUUGGGGAAUCCUGUGUGCAAAACUCAUCUUUCUGUGGGCAGCAGGAUUCCUGUAGCAGCUUCUGAAGCCAAAUUUCUGCUUGACCUUAACGUCCGUACUGCCACCGGGUCGGAUGCCAAGCCAAGCGAAGACGAGAAUACUGUAAAAUACGUGCACACACGGGUCCUAUUCCCCAAGAAUUGAUUAAGUGGAAGGAGUAUUUGCUUUCCCAUUUCUCCUUUUCGUUGGCUGGCUUGUGAAAUAGCCAGCUUCUAUCAAAAAUGACCACAACCCUAAAAACACGCCAUUUCCAGAUUAAUACACUUCUGUUCACGUUAGAUAUCCAGCACCGGCCUAUGUACCAUUUCGUCCCCUGGAGGAGAUAGUUUGGCCUGGAUUGUGUGCUUUUCGAUUGCAGAUUUAAGAAACAAAUAAAGCAAACCCCCACUGCCAGCAACACCUCCCUAACGCCCUAUGGUUUCGCCGGGCAUCGCUGACAUGGCUCGAGCCAACGCUUCCAAUCUUAGCCAGUGGGUCUGUGUUCUCUAGAAUCACCCCACCGCCAUCACCAUAAAGACCAACAGACUUAUUUUUAUUAGAACCUAUUCUCUUUCCGCCCAUGAGAACCUAGCAUGUUAGAACCAUCACAACAGGGUUCCUUGAACCUCUUACGAGAUUCUGUCUCCCAAACCGUCACCCUUCUAGAGUUGGUCAGGAAGGCGCCAGUCCCUCUGUAUUCACGUAAUAAGCCAACAGUUAGCCCCAGAUGGUCUAGCUGCAAAUAUUCCAAGUGGCAAGGGCAAUAACAACGCAUCAGUGUAACCCAUGAAGACAGCAAGCAGGCAUUCGGAGUAGAAAAGAUCGGAGGUCACAUCCCACCUGUGCCGCGUCCCUACCACCUGGGUGAUGUGGGCAGGUUCUCACAUGUCUCGGGACUCAGGCCCUCUCUCAUGGGUAAGGAUGAUGUGAGGUGGAAAUUAAAUGCUCCGGUGUGUACCACAACAGAACUUCGGCACGCGGCACAUGUCUGAUUCCCACUGAGCACACAUGCAGGCAAGUGCCCACCUCAGAAGCAUGCAGCUUGAAUACACCUUUAUUCCUGUUACCAGCUCCCGGAUCAAGGCAAACUUUACCAGCCUCCCAGAAGUCCCCUUGGCUGCUUCCAGGCACUGCCCGCUUCCAAGGGAAGCUCCAUCUGGAUUUCCCCCAGCACAGAUUCGCUUUGCCUUGGCAUUCUUUUCCUUUAAUUGACAAAAAUAAUUAGGUAUAUCAUCAGAAAAAUUUGAAAGCACAGAGACAUGAACUGGAAAGCAAAAUCCUCCUUCCCUGCCCCCUCUACUCUAAAUGUAACUUCAGUGCCUCAAUUUUCAUUUUGGUGGUUUUGUUUUUCAUUUCCUUCAGGAAACGUUUAUGCCAUGUGCCAGGUUUAUGUCUUAAUUUCUUCUCCUUCUCCUCCUCCCUUUGCUCAUUCUCCCCUUCUUCUUCCUCUUCCUCCUCCUACCCUCCCCUCCUCCUCCUCUUCCUCCUCCUCUUCCUCCUCCUCCUCCUUCUCCUAACUCGCACACAACAGAGCAUAAUAAAAUUGACCUAUUUGUUGCUUA